AGAGAUGUGUGAUGACGCAUAUCAAUAAGCGGAGGAAAAGAAACUAACAAGGAUUCCCUUAGUAACGGCGAGUGAAGCGGGAAGAGCUCAAAUUUGAAAUCUUCAAGGUUCUACCUUGACGAAUUGUAGUUUAUAGAAGUGUUUUCUGUUAGUAGAGUGGCAAAAGUUCUUUGGAAUAGGACAUCAUAGAGGGUGAGAAUCCCGUAUUUGGUCAUUCUUUCUAGCUUUGUGAUACACUUUCAACGAGUCGGAUUGUUUGGGAAUGCAGUCCAAAAUGGGUGGUAAAUUUCAUCUAAAGCUAAAUAUUGGCGAGAGACCGAUAGCGAACAAGUACCGUGAGGGAAAGAUGAAAAGAACUUUGAAAAGAGAGUUAAACAGUACGUGAAAUUGUCAAAAGGGAAGCGUUUGACACCAGUGUUGUUUUUCCGAAAAUCAAUUACGAAUGUUUUAGUUUUUAAGAAGUUAUGACUUCAUCGGCUUGCUUCUCUCUUUAUGAAACUUUCUUAAUGCACUUUUCGGUUAACAAGUCAACAUCAAUUUCUUUUGUUGUAAAAGGGUAUGAGGAAGGUGGCUUUCUUUUCGGAGAAAGUGUUUAUAGCCUUGUACCUCUGCAAUCGGAGAGAUUGAGGUCUGCAGCGUAGAUCCUUCGGGGUUAGAUACAUUUGUGCUAAGUUAUAGCUUUUCAUAGACAACUUGUUGACUAUGUUAAGUCUUGUAGCUUACUCGCAGUAUGCUAUUUUACCUACGCUUAGGAUGUUGACGAUCAGCUGAGCGCG
rnacentral:rRNA from 1 species